rnacentral:rRNA from 1 species
AGGGAUCAUUACCGAGUUUACAACUCCCAAACCCAAUGUGAACGUUACCAAACUGUUGCCUCGGCGGGAUCUCUGCCCCGGGUGCGUCGCAGCCCCGGACCAAGGCGCCCGCCGGAGGACCAACCAAAACUCUUUUGUAUACCCCCUCGCGGGUUUUUUAUAUCUGAGCCAUCUCGGCGCCUCUCGUAGGCGUUUCGAAAAUGAAUCAAAACUUUCAACAACGGAUCUCUUGGUUCUGGCAUCGAUGAAGAACGCAGCGAAAUGCGAUAAGUAAUGUGAAUUGCAGAAUUCAGUGAAUCAUCGAAUCUUUGAACGCACAUUGCGCCCGCCAGUAUUCUGGCGGGCAUGCCUGUCCGAGCGUCAUUUCAACCCUCGAACCCCUCCGGGGGGUCGGCGUUGGGGAUCGGCCCUUUACGGGGCCGGCCCCGAAAUACAGUGGCGGUCUCGCCGCAGCCUCUCCUGCGCAGUAGUUUGCACACUCGCAUCGGGAGCGCGGCGCGUCCAUUGCCGUAAAACACCCAACUUUCUGAAAUGUUGACCUCGGAUCAGGUAGGAAUACCCGCUGAACUUAA